UACGAAGGGGGCUAGCGUUGCUCGGAAUCACUGGGCGUAAAGGGUGCGUAGGCGGGUCUUUAAGUCAGAGGUGAAAUCCUGGAGCUCAACUCCAGAACUGCCUUUGAUACUGAGAGGCUCGAGUCCGGGAGAGGUGAGUGGAACUCCGAGUGUAGAGGUGAAAUUCGUAGAUAUUCGGAAGAACACCAGUGGCGAAGGCGGCUCACUGGCCCGGUACUGACGCUGAGGUGCGAAAGCGUGGGGAGCAAACAGG
rnacentral:rRNA from 1 species